AAACUGAAGAGUUUGAUCAUGGCUCAGAUUGAACGCUGGCGGUAGGCCUAACACAUGCAAGUCGAGCGAGAACGCACCUUCGGGUGUUAUUAGAGCGGCGGACGGGUGAGUAACGCGUGGGAAUCUACCCAGUAGCGGGGGAUAACUUGUGGAAACGCAAGCUAAUACCGCAUACGCCCUAAGGGGGAAAGUAGGGGAUCU
rnacentral:rRNA from 1 species